GAUGAACGCUGGCGGCGUGCUUAACACAUGCAAGUCGAGCGAGAAGUUUUGAAAAGAUUCUUCGGAUGAAAUUUAAAAUGGAAAGCGGCGGACGGGUGAGUAACGCGUAGGCAACCUGCCCCAUACAAAGGGAUAGCAUUUGGAAACGAAUAUUAAUACCUUAUGAAACUUAACUAGUGCAUGCUAGGUAGGUCAAAGAUUUAUCGGUAUGGGAUGGGCCUGCGUCUGAUUAGCUAGUUGGUGAGGUAACGGCUCACCAAGGCGACGAUCAGUAGCCGACCGGGGAGGGUGAACGGCCACAUUGGAACUGAGACACGGUCCAAACUCCUACGGGAGGCAGCAGUGGGGAAUAUUGCACAAUGGGGGAAACCCUGAUGCAGCAACGCCGCGUGAACGAUGAAGGCCUUUGGGUCGUAAAGUUCUGUUCUAGGUGAUGAAAACUGACAGUAACCUAGGAGAAAGCCCCGGCUAACUCCGUG
rnacentral:rRNA from 1 species